GGAUCGAUGAUGAAACCCUAAUCAGCAUUCCUUGGAAAAGCUGAACAAAAUGAGUGAGAAAUCCCUACCGUCUCCUCUCAUCGAACUGAAGUCC
rnacentral:snoRNA from 1 species